rnacentral:misc_RNA from 1 species
AAAAAUUGCAUAAAAUGAGUAAGAAAUAAUACUAAUUUUGCUAGUCACUGUCAACAGCAAUAAUGCAAAGUGAUUAAUAGUUACAAUUUUCAUCAUCUGAACCUUAUCACUUAUGCUCCUCAGAAUUUUACCACCCAAAGCAACUCAAUUCCAUUAAAAACCAUACAAAAACAGAACCCAGUAUUACAAGUUUUCCUCCAUCUACAGAAUAAGUAAUUUUCCGAGAAAACGAUUUUUUUUCUUUCCCUUUUUUUUUAGCUGGUAACUGCAAGAACCGAAAAUCCCAUCUUAAAUGCCCGGACCCCAAAGACUCCAUAAACG